AGAAUCAACGCUGGCGGCGUGCCUCAGACAUGCAAGUCGAACGCGAAAGUUUCCUUCGGGAAAUGAGUAGAGUGGCGCACGGGUGAGUAACACGUAGGUAAUCUACCUUUGGAUGGGGAAUAACAACCGGAAACGGUUGCUAAUACCGCAUAAUGCAGCGGCACCUAAUGGUGACAGUUGUUAAAGCGGGGGAUCGAAAGACCUCGCGUCUAAAGAGGAGCCUGCGGCGGAUUAGCUAGUUGGUAAGGUAAUGGCUUACCAAGGCUACGAUCC
rnacentral:rRNA from 1 species